rnacentral:rRNA from 1 species
GACGAACGCUGGCGGCGUGCUUAACACAUGCAAGUCGAGCGGUAAGGCCCUUUCGGGGGUACACGAGCGGCGAACGGGUGAGUAACACGUGGGUGACCUGCCCUCAGCUCUGGGAUAAGCCUGGGAAACUGGGUCUAAUACUGGAUAUGACUCCACGGUGCAUGUCGUGGGGUGGAAAGCCUUGUGCGGCUGAGGAUGGGCCCGCGGCCUAUCAGCUUGUUGGUGGGGNGAUGGCCUACCAAGGCGACGACGGGUAGCUGGUCUGAGAGGAUGGCCAGCCACAUUGGGACUGAGACACGGCCCAGACUCCUACGGGAGGCAGCAGUGGGGAAUAUUGCGCAAUGGACGAAAGUCUGACGCAGCGACGCCGCGUGUGGGAUGACGGUCUUCGGAUUGUAAACCACUGUCGGGAGGGACGAAUACGCCGC